CAGCCGCCGCGGGAAUACGAAGGGUGCAAGCGUUAAUCGGAAUUACUGGGCGUAAAGCGUGCGUAGGCGGUGAGUUAAGUCUGCUGUGAAAUCCCCGGGCUCAACCUGGGAAUGGCAGUGGAUACUGGCUCGCUAGAGUGUGUCAGAGGAUGGUGGAAUUCCCGGUGUAGCGGUGAAAUGCGUAGAGAUCGGGAGGAACAUCAGUGGCGAAGGCGGCCAUCUGGGACAACACUGACGCUGAGGCACGAAAGCGUGGGGAGCGAACAGGAUUAGAUACCCGGGUAGUCCCUGUCUCUUAUAC
rnacentral:rRNA from 1 species